GAGCGAACAGAUAAGGAGCUUGCUCCUUUGACGUUAGCGGCGGACGGGUGAGUAACACGUGGGUAACCUACCUAUAAGACUGGAAUAACUCCGGGAAACCGGGGCUAAUGCCGGAUAACAUUUAGAACCGCAUGGUUCUAAAGUGAAAGAUGGUUUUGCUAUCACUUAUAGAUGGACCCGCGCCGUAUUAGCUAGUUGGUAAGGUAACGGCUUACCAAGGCAACGAUACGUAGCCGACCUGAGAGGGUGAUCGGCCACACUGGAACUGAGACACGGUCCAGACUCCUACGGGAGGCAGCAGUAGGGAAUCUUCCGCAAUGGGCGAAAGCCUGACGGAGCAACGCCGCGUGAGUGAUGAAGGUCUUCGGAUCGUAAAACUCUGUUAUUAGGGAAGAACAAAUGUGUAAGUAACUGUGCACGUCUUGACGGUACCUAAUCAGAAAGCCACGGCUAACUACGUGCCAGCAGCCGCGGUAAUACGUAGGUGGCAAGCGUUAUCCGGAAUUAUUGGGCGUAAAGCGCGCGUAGGCGGUUUCUUAAGUCUGAUGUGAAAGCCCACGGCUCAACCGUGGAGGGUCAUUGGAAACUGGGAAACUUGAGUGCAGAAGAGGAAAGUGGAAUUCCAUGUGUAGCGGUGAAAUGCGCAGAGAUAUGGAGGAACACCAGUGGCGAAGGCGACUUUCUGGUCUGUAACUGACGC
rnacentral:rRNA from 1 species